UGCUUAUAACAAGCAAUAAAAUUGUGAAGUCCAAUAGACAAUCAAACAACAUAAGUUUUAUAACAAGCAAUAAUAAUAUGAAGUCCAAUAGACAAUCAAACGAUAUAAGUCAUCAUACCAUACAACAUAAAAGCCAAGUUAAACGAACUAUCAGGCGACAUAAGUGCCAUAUUAAACGACAUAUAUGUAUCGUUGGUUUUACAUUGAGACGACAUAGAGUCUAGUAAUUUUCCAACUUUAAUAACAUCAGAUGACAUUAAAUUGUCAACAUGUGAAUAUAUUUGUCGUUGUAGGUUCUGUAACUUGACGAUUAUUUGCAAUGUAUGGUUGUAUCACACUACAUCUAAUUCGACAAAUCAUUCAUUUUUUCUUCUUUCACUCGACAUUUAAAUGUUGUUGGAUUUUUAUUCAGAUGAAAUAAAGUUCAAAAACCUUCCAGACUUGUCAAAUUUCAGACGACAUAACAUAUGUCGUCUAAUCAAUACUCAGACGACAGUGGAGAACUGUCGUCUGAUUGAUGAUCAGAUGGCAGGGCCUCAGACGACAUAUAAUUUUUCUUCAUACGACAAUGCUCAACUGUCGUCUGAUGUUGUUUUUGGCAUAGUGACUACUCUAAUGCUAUCAAAGAGUACUGCUCUAAUGUCCAAAGUCAUCGCAACUCUCUUAAUAUCGAGAAUCUCUGUAAAUAAUAUUAUGUAUUCUAAGAAGCACCAACUAACAAAGAGUACUGCUUUAAUAUUUUUGAUUGUUUUGUACUCCCAGAUUAUGUACAAACUUGUUUUACAUAAAAUGAUUAGUUUCCUAAUAACAAGUAAUUAUUACUUCCUUGUGUAUAUGUGUUCUAGUGACAUCAGAGCAAAAAGGAUAAAACUAUAAUCUAUAUUAUUAUAUAUGGUGUACUAGUGUACUAAAAUUAGUCAUGUUUCAAUACUUUGAUCCAUUGGGAUCUUUCCGGUCUUAGUAAACCCUUAUCAUUGAUUUUUGUAAUACUCCUAGAUAUUUUUGUGAAUGUUCGAUUUUUAGUAUAACUAUCCAGUUGCAGUGACAUUUGAGAUACAUUUCCAUAUUAUGAGGCAUCAAAUUUAGUGAGCUUCACUAUAUAUAGCUCAUAUAUUGACACGACCCACCCCGAAUUUCACCCUGAAACCCAGAGUAAGUCGUGCGGGGACCACCUCCAAGGAAAAUUUACUGAAAAGAUUAAGAAAAUCUCCCUUGCAGAUGGACAACCCUAACUCGAAAAUUUCAAAUUACACUCUCAAUUUAUCACUUCUGAACAUCGCAUAAUAUACAAAAAUUCUAAAGUAUUCAGAGCUACUAAACACAAGCGGAAGCAAGAAAACACGAGUAGGUUGAACAGGUAACCUACUGACGAAAACUGGCAGAAAUGCGGGUGACUAUGCCUCGUCUCCUACUAGAUCCAACCUGAACUCUGCAGACUGGGCAAUUUAAAACGAAGGGCCCAGGGGAAAACAUUUAAUAACGUUAGAGUGAGUGGACAAAAAUAAAAUAAUAAAUAUAAUAUUUAUGUUUCCCCAAAUUAAUUUCUAAGGAAAAAUCGAAUGCAUGCCGCAAGCGAUAAAACUUUUAUCCCAUAAAAUAUCGAGCCUCUCAGACUCUAUAAUAUAUGUAUGUAUUUACACUCGUCCAUACUCCCUAUAUAAAUUCAUGGGUCUAUAUAGGGCUACUACGCUCGCGUCCAACGCUCACGUCACGUCUUAAUGCGGUGCUACAUUACGCCAUCAAGGUGGACAGACGGGUGUAUAAAUAUGUGUCCAUACCCCCUAUAUGAAUUAAACACUCAAAUAUGGCUACUACGCUUACGUCCAACGCUCACGUCACACCAUAAUGCGGCUAUAUGCUACGCCAUUAAGGUGGACAGACACAUAUGGCUAGCUAGCAUUUUCUAUACAUACUCUCUCAUAAAUACAUAUUUAUAUCCACCGAAAAUCCCAUUUUCGGUAUCUCUCCAAGAGAAGUAAAAAUCAUCAAAAAUUAAGAUGACGUCAAAAUACUCCACGACAUUAAUUAUUCAAUCGUGAACUUUAGCAUGCAUUUAUUUAAAAUAAACGUCCACUCACAAAUUAGGCCUAAGCCUGAUGUCGAUCUGGGGUCUCAUCUGCUCGAGCCUCCUCACGUCCUGUUCCAAAUAAAAUAUUAAUUUCCCAACCAAUAAUCUCAUAUUUAAUCAAAAUAGGCAAAAUUACCCGAGAGCCAUAAAUACGCUCAUCAUUGCCUAACUUCGAUGUUCUUACAUCGGAACGAUCCGAACUUAAAUAUCAUACUCCACAGUCGUAAAUAUAACCUCCUCAAAAUACGACUUAAAUCCUACGGCCGGAUUCUACAUUAAUUAACCGCCAAAAAUACCAAACUUCGGAAAAUCACAAACCUAUCCAAAUCUCAUCCAAAAAUUCCAUAAAUCACACCAAUAUACUCCUCUUAACAUUCCACAUUUAAAACCCUAAAAAUCUCCUAACCGGCAGCGGCGGCCGGCAGCCGUUUUCCGGCGACCUGCAAAUGCUACCAAAUUUUAACAGAAUCUUCCUCUCAAUCUCCUCUACAACUUUCAUGACUAACACAAACUCCAAUUCUAAGCCUAACCAUGUCGAUCGAACACAAACAACCAUAAAUCCUUAAAACUUUCAAUUAUACAAACCACCCUAACGAGAUCGAAUUUAGCCGAAACCUUUUGAGGGAUUACUCACCUAGAUGAGGGCUACAAGUUGAGCCAAAAAUCACGACCUAUGGUGGCCGGAAGACGGAGCUCCGGCGAAGGGACAGUCGGCGGUUCCAGCGGCUUUUCUUCUCUUCGGCGGCACCACCGGCUCGGACNNN
rnacentral:lncRNA from 1 species